rnacentral:rRNA from 1 species
GUCGAGCGGAAAGGCCCUUUCGGGGGUACUCGAGCGGAGGACGGGUGAGUAACGCGUGAGUAAUCUGCCCUGGACUCUGGGAUACCCACCGGAAACGGUGAUUAAUACCGGAUAUGACCACUCUAGGCAUCGAGUGGUGGUGGAAAGUUUUUCGGUCCAAGAUGUGCUCGCGGCCUAUCAUCUUGUUGGUGAGGUAAUGGCUCACCAAGGCUUUGACGGGUAGCCGGCCUGAGAGGGUGACCGGUCACACUGGGACUGACACACGGCCCACACUCCUACGGGAGGCAGCAGUGGGGAAUAUUGGACAAUGGGCGGAAGCCUGAUCCAGCAACGCCGCGUGAGGGAUGACGGCCUUCGGGUUGUAAACCUCUUUCAGUACCGACAAAGCGAAAGUGACGGUAGGUACAGAAGAAGGACCGGCCAACUACGUGCCAGCAGCCGCGGUAAUACAUAGGGUCCGAGCGUUGUCCGGAAUUAUUGGGCGUAAAGGGCUCAUACGCGGUUUGUCGCGUCUGGAGUGAAAACAGCGGGCUUAACUCGUUGCUUGCUUUCUAUACGGGCAGACUAGAGGUAUGCAGGAGAGAAUGGAAUUCCUGGUGUAGCGGUGAAAUGCGCAUAUAUCAAGAGGAACACCGGUGGCGAACGCGGUUCUCUGGGCAUUACCUGACUCU